rnacentral:tRNA from 1 species
UCCGCCCUGGUGUAAUGGCAGCACGCAGGCCUUUGGUGCCUUGCGGUCCGGGUUCGAAUCCUGGGGGCGGAG